rnacentral:rRNA from 1 species
AUGCUUAUUAAUCUUGCAGACUUGGACAUAUUACUUGUGAAGCUUGCUUGUUUACUUGAGCCUAUUGUCCUUGGUUGUAGUUGCAUUAUAUGCUUUCAUACCAUACCACACCUUAUCCUUUCUUAUGAUAAGAAAGAUGAAAACACUUGUUGGGUAUUUUACCACACGAAUGCUAGGUGUUGCAUUUGCACUAAGCUCAUUUGUUUUUCCGAGUGUUUGUCAUGUUGUUUCAUUUUGAAGGAUUCACAAGGCGUUACCAUCACGAGACAUAUUGGUUAUGUGAAGGCAUACAUGAUGUGCAACACCAACAUUUGCGAGAAUCUCCUAAAGGUGAACUCCUUCUCUUUGAGCCACCCUAAAAUACGCAUAUUGGAUGGGUCAUUCUUUCAUUGA